UUAAUUUUACAUUUUCUAAAAUUUUCUCUCUAAAAUUUGUUUUUAUUAAAUUUUUUUUUAAAAUUUUAGUUUUAAAAAUUAAUUGUUUAUAAUCCUUUCUCAAAAAUAUUUUGUUAAAAAAAUUUUUGGAAAAAGAGGCUUUUGAAACAUAUUUUGGUAUUUACGCGUUCACAAAUGUAAAAGUCCAGAGUAACUGUCUAUGAUGUUAAUUAAUGCGUAAAAGUCAUGUCAUUUUUUUACAUGUUAAACGAACACAGGUUGGUAAUUUUAUUUAAUCAAAAAAUAAAAUGCUGUGGAUUGAUGCGCGAUAACUUUAAUUGAAAAACGAAGUUACUUCUUCAAUGUUUUAUUUUAUUUUUCAAUUUCACGUAUUACGAAUAAUAAAAUUUGAUUUUCAAAUACAUAUUAGAUUAACAUGUUGUGCAUAUUAGAAAUUAAAUAUGAAAAAGAUUUUAUUUAUACGCGUUUUUGAUUACAUUUCUCAUAUUUCAGAAUACUGUUAGUGCAGUGCAAAUUAAAUCUCAAAAAUAAUUGUAUGCUUUCAAAGGUAAGUGUUAAUAAAUAUUUAAUCUAUGCAGCUUAAUUUACAAAUGUUAUCACAAGUGAUAUGAUUGAAACUAUGUGUAAUUUUAAAUAGACAAUUUAAGAAAAGAUAUUAUCAAAUUUUUAUUGCAUAAUUAAACUUCAGAAUGAUCAUUUAUGCACCUAAAACUACAAAAACUAUAAACUUUCGAGACUCUUCAGCUGAAGGUAUUCUCAACGUUUUGUUGCAGCUUGGGUUUUAGAAACAAAGAUAAUUAUUUCUCUUUUCAAUAUUAGUUGUUUAAUAAAUCCAAGGAAUAAUUCAUUUUUGCGUCUAAAACUACACAAACUACAACUUUUGGAGACUCUUUAGGUAAAGGUAUUCUCGACGUUUCGUUGUAGCUUGUGUUUUAGAAACAAAGAUAAUUAUUUCUCUUUUCAAUAUUAGUUGUUUAAUAAAUCCAAGGAAUAAUUCAUUUUUGCGUCUAAAACUACACAAACUACAACUUUUGGAGACUCUUUAGGUAAAGGUAUUCUCGACGUUUCGUUGUAGCUUGUGUUUUAGAAACGAAGAUAAUUAUUUUUCUUUUCAAUUUUAGUUGAUUAAUAAAACCUUGGAAUAAUUUAUUUUUUGCAUCUAAAACUACACAAACUACAACUUUUGGAGACUCUUUAGGUAAAGGUAUUCUCGACGUUUCGUUGUAGCUUGUGUUUUAGAAACAAAGAUAAUUAUUUCUCUUUUCAAUAUUAGUUGUUUAAUAAAUCCAAGGAAUAAUUCAUUUUUGCGUCUAAAACUACACAAACUACAACUUUUGGAGACUCUUUAGGUAAAGGUAUUCUCGACGUUUCGUUGUAGCUUGUGUUUUAGAAACGAAGAUAAUUAUUUUUCUUUUCAAUUUUAGUUGAUUAAUAAAACCUUGGAAUAAUUUAUUUUUUGCAUCUAAAACUACACAAACUACAACUUUUGGAGACUCUUUAGGUAAAGGUAUUCUCGACGUUUCGUUGUAGCUUGUGUUUUAGAAACAAAGAUAAUUAUUUCUCUUUUCAAUAUUAGUUGUUUAAUAAAUCCAAGGAAUAAUUCAUUUUUGCGUCUAAAACUACACAAACUACAACUUUUGGAGACUCUUUAGGUAAAGGUAUUCUCGACGUUUCGUUGUAGCUUGUGUUUUAGAAACGAAGAUAAUUAUUUUUCUUUUCAAUUUUAGUUGAUUAAUAAAACCUUGGAAUAAUUUAUUUUUUGCAUCUAAAACUACACAAACUACAACUUUUGGAGACUCUUUAGGUAAAGGUAUUCUCGACGUUUCGUUGUAGCUUGUGUUUUAGAAACAAAGAUAAUUAUUUCUCUUUUCAAUAUUAGUUGUUUAAUAAAUCCAAGGAAUAAUUCAUUUUUGCGUCUAAAACUACACAAACUACAACUUUUGG